UACCAGCACCCCGAGUGGUCGGGACGUUUAUUGGGCCUAAAGCAUCCGUAGCCGGUUCUACAAGUCUUCCGUUAAAUCCACCUGCUUAACAGAUGGGCUGCGGAAGAUACUAUAGAGCUAGGAGGCGGGAGAGGCAAGCGGUACUCGAUGGGUAGGGGUAAAAUCCGUUGAUCCAUUGAAGACCACCAGUGGCGAAGGCGGCUCGCUGGACAAGUAUUGACGCUGAGGUGCGAAAGCGUGGGGAGCAAACAGG
rnacentral:rRNA from 1 species